rnacentral:rRNA from 1 species
AGGACGAACGCUGGCGGCGUGCUUAACACAUGCAAGUCGAACGGAAAGGCCCUGCUUUUGUGGGGUGCUCGAGUGGCGAACGGGUGAGUAACACGUGAGUAACCUGCCCUUGACUUUGGGAUAACUUCAGGAAACUGGGGCUAAUACCGGAUAGGAGCUCCUGCUGCAUGGUGGGGGUUGGAAAGUUUCGGCGGUUGGGGAUGGACUCGCGGCUUAUCAGCUUGUUGGUGGGGUAGUGGCUUACCAAGGCUUUGACGGGGUAGCCGGCCUGAGAGGGUGACCGGCCACAUUGGGACUGAGAUACGGCCCAGACUCCUACGGGAGCAGCAGUGGGGAAUAUUGCACAAUGGGCGGAAGCCUGAUGCAGCAACGCCGCGUG